AAUUGUCUUGUAUUUUGUUAGAUAUGUAGGAUAAUUAGAUGCAAGUAGACCAUUUCAUAUUCUUGAUGAAACAAUGAUGUCUAGUGUAUUUGAUAUGAUAAACUAGAAAAAAAAUAAAAAAUACUACAUAACCAACUGUAAAAGGUUAGACAGACCAAUAAUGUAAAAAAAUUUACAUUAUAAGCCUUCCCUAGAUGCAACCUUUGCUAGACUCCAGUUUAUUGAGGUCCAUAAGUGCAUGCAUUAGAUCUUUAACAACCCACUUCUGCAAUCUUUUUGGGCAAAACUAAUCCACACAGGGGAUCGAUCUGAAAAAGUUCAAAGGCUAUGCCAAAAAAGCAGUCAACACAACACUAACAUGGGAAGUACACCAUAAAGAUAAUGUUGACGUGAUUGGGCUGUUCUACCCUUAACCAGGUUCGACCCUGUGCAUGGAGAAACACUCUGUUGGGAGCGCUAUCCCCCGAAUGGGGCCUUAUCCGACGCGAAUCCAAAUUAAUCGGGCUCCAAUACAGGUGGAACUUCAAAUGGAUGCCUAACAGGUGGCUGAUUCCUUUGACUGAAAAUUGUGAUGAAGAAAAAAGGACAACUUUUGGAGUAUUGGAUAUUUGUAUUGUACUAUAUGGUGACUUUAAAUAUAAUUUUUUAAUUAUUAUUCAAAAUUUAUUGUAUCAGAUUGUUAAGUUUCAUUCUUAUAUAACGAUGAAAUUUACUAUUUUAUGUAAAAACUAAUUUGGUAGU